CACGUAGGGGGCAAGCGUUGUCCGGAUUUAUUGGGCGUAAAGAGCUCGUAGGCGGUUCGGUAAGUCGGGUGUGAAACCUCCAGGCUCAACCUGGAGACGCCACCCGAUACUGCUGUGACUAGAGUCCGGUAGGGGAACACGGAAUUCCCGGUGUAGCGGUGAAAUGCUUAGAUAUCGGGAGGAACACCAGUGGCGAAGGCGGUGUUCUGGGCCGGAACUGACGCUGAGGAGCGAAAGCGUGGGUAGCAAACAGG
rnacentral:rRNA from 1 species